rnacentral:rRNA from 1 species
UCUGGAAAGGCGCGUGAUACAGGGUGACAGCCCCGUACACAAAAAUGCACAUGCUGUGAGCUCGAUGAGUAGGGCGGGACACGUGGUAUCCUGUCUGAAUAUGGGGGGACCAUCCUCCAAGGCUAAAUACUCCUGACUGACCGAUAGUGAACCAGUACCGUGAGGGAAAGGCGAAAAGAACCCCGGCGAGGGGAGUGAAAAAGAACCUGAAACCGUGUACGUACAAGCAGUGGGAGCACGCUUAGGCGUGUGACUGCGUACCUUUUGUAUAAUGGGUCAGCGACUUAUAUUCUGUAGCAAGGUUAACCGAAUAGGGGAGCCGAAGGGAAACCGAGUCUUAACUGGGCGUUAAGUUGCAGGGUAUAGACCCGAAACCCGGUGAUCUAGCCAUGGGCAGGUUGAAGGUUGGGUAACACUAACUGGAGGACCGAACCGACUAAUGUUGAAAAAUUAGCGGAUGACUUGUGGCUGGGGGUGAAAGGCCAAUCAAACCGGGAGAUAGCUGGUUCUCCCCGAAAGCUAUUUAGGUAGCGCCUCGUGAAUUCAUCUCCGGGGGUAGAGCACUGUUUCGGCAAGGGGGUCAUCCCGACUUACCAACCCGAUGCAAACUGCGAAUACCGGAGAAUGUUAUCACGGGAGACACACGGCGGGUGCUAACGUCCGUCGUGAAGAGGGAAACAACCCAGACCGCCAGCUAAGGUCCCAAAGUCAUGGUUAAGUGGGAAACGAUGUGGGAAGGCCCAGACAGCCAGGAUGUUGGCUUAGAAGCAGCCAUCAUUUAAAGAAAGCGUAAUAGCUCACUGGUCGAGUCGGCCUGCGCGGAAGAUGUAACGGGGCUAAACCAUGCACCGAAGCUGCGGCAGCGACGCUUAUGCGUUGUUGGGUAGGGGAGCGUUCUGUAAGCCUGUGAAGGUGUACUGUGAGGUAUGCUGGAGGUAUCAGAAGUGCGAAUGCUGACAUAAGUAACGAUAAAGCGGGUGAAAAGCCCGCUCGCCGGAAGACCAAGGGUUCCUGUCCAACGUUAAUCGGGGCAGGGUGAGUCGACCCCUAAGGCGAGGCCGAAAGGCGUAGUCGAUGGGAAACAGGUU